AAUUCUCAGGCCGUGGAUGCUUUUUUGUAAAAGUGUUCUCAGCCUGGUUUAUUGGGCUUUGUCGUGUCCUUUGUUGGGAUGACUGGCCUUAAAAGUAUUAGCUGGUCCUCGUGAUGGUGUAUUGGUUCUACUCAGCGUGAUAUAAACUGACCGCGGAGGACAUCUUUCGAGAUGGCCAAUUCUCAUUCGGAUUGCUCUCUAAUCUGGUUUAUGGGUUGCUGAUAGUGACCUGUUCCAUUUUCAAU
rnacentral:misc_RNA from 1 species